CCUACGGGUCGCACCAGUGGGGAAUAUUGCACAAUGGGCGCAAGCCUGAUGCAGCCAUGCCGCGUGUAUGAAGAAGGCCUUCGGGUUGUAAAGUACUUUCAGCGGGGAGGAAGGCGAUAAGGUUAAUAACCUUGUCGAUUGACGUUACCCGCAGAAGAAGCACCGGCUAACUCCGUGCCAGCAGCCGCGGUAAUACGGAGGGUGCAAGCGUUAAUCGGAAUUACUGGGCGUAAAGCGCACGCAGGCGGUCUGUCAAGUCGGAUGUGAAAUCCCCGGGCUCAACCUGGGAACUGCAUUCGAAACUGGCAGGCUAGAGUCUUGUAGAGGGGGGUAGAACUCCAGGUGUAGCGGUGAAAUGCGUAGAGAUAUGGAGGAACACCAGUGGCGAAGGCGACUUUCUGGUCUGUGACUGACACUGAGGCGCGAAAGCGUGGGGAGCAAACAGGAUUAGAUACCCCCGUAGUC
rnacentral:rRNA from 1 species